rnacentral:rRNA from 1 species
UGGGGAAUUUUGGACAAUGGGCGAAAGCCUGAUCCAGCAAUGCCGCGUGUGUGAAGAAGGCCUUCGGGUUGUAAAGCACUUUUGUCCGGAAAGAAAUCCUUGGCUCUAAUACAGUCGGGGGAUGACGGUACCGGAAGAAUAAGCACCGGCUAACUACGUGCCAGCAGCCGCGGUAAUACGUAGGGUGCAAGCGUUAAUCGGAAUUACUGGGCGUAAAGCGUGCGCAGGCGGUUUGCUAAGACCGAUGUGAAAUCCCCGGGCUCAACCUGGGAACUGCAUUGGUGACUGGCAGGCUAGAGUAUGGCAGAUGGGGGGUAGAAUUCCCACGUGUAGCAGUGAAAUGCGUAGAGAUGUGGAGGAAUACCGAUGGCGAAGGCAGCCCCCUGGGCCAAUACUGACGCUCAUGCACGAAAGCGUGGGGAGCAAACAGGAUUAGAUACCCUGGUAGUCCACGCCCUAAACGAUGUCAACUAGUUGUUGGGGAUUCAUUUCCUAGUAACGUAGCUAACGCGUGAAGUUGACCGCCUGGGGAGUACGGUCGCAAGAUUAAAACUUAAAGGAAUUGACGGGGUCAUAGCUGUUUCCU